UUUUGUGAUGAUUCCGCACUGGGCACCGACAAUUCUUGAUGGACACGCUCAUUAUGGCAGGCCUAGAAAACCUCGCCGACUGAUC
rnacentral:snoRNA from 1 species